rnacentral:rRNA from 1 species
AGUUUGAUCCUGGCUCAGGAUGAACGCUAGCUACAGGCUUAACACAUGCAAGUCGAGGGGCAGCAUUGGGGUAGCAAUACUUCAGAUGGCGACCGGCGCACGGGUGAGUAACACGUAUCCAACCUGCCGCUUACUCGGGGAUAGCCUUUCGAAAGAAAGAUUAAUACCCGAUGGUAUAAAGAGUUCGCAUGUUCUCUUUAUUAAAGAAUUUCGGUAAGCGAUGGGGAUGCGUUCCAUUAGAUUGUUGGCGGGGUAACGGCCCACCAAGUCUACGAUGGAUAGGGGUUCUGAGAGGAAGGUCCCCCACAUUGGAACUGAGACACGGUCCAAACUCCUACGGGAGGCAGCAGUGAGGAAUAUUGGUCAAUGGACGAGAGUCUGAACCAGCCAAGUAGCGUGAAGGAUGACUGCCCUAUGGGUUGUAAACUUCUUUUAUAAGGGAAUAAAGUGAGGGACGUGUCCCUUUUUGUAUGUACCUUAUGAAUAAGGAUCGGCUAACUCCGUGCCAGCAGCCGCGGUAAUACGGAGGAUCCAAGCGUUAUCCGGAUUUAUUGGGUUUAAAGGGAGCGUAGGUUGACAUAUAAGUCAGCUGUGAAAGUUUACGGCUCAACCGUGAAAUUGCAGUUGAUACUGUAUGUCUUGAGUGUACAAGAGGUGGGCGGAAUUCGUGGUGUAGCGGUGAAAUGCUUAGAUAUCACGAAGAACUCCAAUUGCGAAGGCAGCUCACUGGGGUACAACUGACACUGAGGCUCGAAAGUGUGGGUAUCAAACAGGAUUAGAUACCCUGGUAGUCCACACAGUAAACGAUGAAUACUCGCUGUUUGCGAUAUACAGUAAGCGGCCAAGCGAGAGCAUUAAGUAUUCCACCUGGGGAGUACGCCGGCAACGGUGAAACUCAAAGGAAUUGACGGGGGCCCGCACAAGCGGAGGAACAUGUGGUUUAAUUCGAUGAUACGCGAGGAACCUUACCCGGGCUUGAAUUGCAGAGGAACAUAGUUGAAAGAUUAUGGCCGCAAGGUCUCUGUGAAGGUGCUGCAUGGUUGUCGUCAGCUCGUGCCGUGAGGUGUCGGCUUAAGUGCCAUAACGAGCGCAACCCUUAUCAUUAGUUACUAACAGGUCAUGCUGAGGACUCUAGUGAGACUGCCGUCGUAAGAUGUGAGGAAGGUGG